rnacentral:tRNA from 1 species
GCUCCCUUAGUUCAAUGGUAGAACAGACGGCCGAUUACCGUCAUACAACAGUUCGAUUCUGUUAGGGAGUUCUA